rnacentral:rRNA from 1 species
CAACGGAUCUCUUGGUUCUGGCAUCGAUGAAGAACGCAGCGAAAUGCGAUAAGUAAUGUGAAUUGCAGAAUUCAGUGAAUCAUCGAAUCUUUGAACGCACAUUGCGCCCCCUGGUAUUCCGGGGGGCAUGCCUGUUCGAGCGUCAUUUCACCACUCAA